GAGUUUGAUCAUGGCUCAGGAUGAACGCUAGCGGCAGGCUUAACACAUGCAAGUCGAGGGGUAACAGGGAAAGCUUGCUUUCCGCUGACGACCGGCGAACGGGUGCGUAACACGUAUGCAACCUACCUUCCACUGGGGUAUAGCCCAGAGAAAUUUGGAUUAAUCCCCCAUAGAACCAAGAGCCGCAUGGCUCAAUGGUUAAAGGAUUCCGGUGGAAGAUGGGCAUGCGUCCCAUUAGCUAGUAGGUGAGGUAACGGCUCACCUAGGCAACGAUGGGUAGGGGGUCUGAGAGGAUGAUCCCCCACACUGGUACUGAGACACGGACCAGACUCCUACGGGAGGCAGCAGUGAGGAAUAUUGCGCAAUGGACGAAAGUCUGACGCAGCCAUGCCGCGUGAAGGAUGACGGCCCUAUGGGUUGUAAACUUCUUUUAUAUACCAAGAAACCUCGGGACGUGUCCCGGGCUGACGGUAGUGUAUGAAUAAGCACCGGCUAACUCCGUGCCAGCAGCCGCGGUAAUACGGAGGGUGCAAGCGUUAUCCGGAUUUAUUGGGUUUAAAGGGUCCGUAGGUGGACCAUUAAGUCAGAAGUGAAAUCCCGCGGCUCAACCGCGGAACUGCUUUUGAUACUGGUGGUCUUGAGUGUGCUCGAAGUUGGCGGAAUAUGACAUGUAGCGGUGAA
rnacentral:rRNA from 1 species